rnacentral:rRNA from 1 species
ACGCUCGACACCUACGAGAGGCAGCAGUGGGGAAUAUUGCACAAUGGGGGAAACCCUGAUGCAGCGACGCCGCGUGAGCGAAGAAGUAUUUCGGUAUGUAAAGCUCUAUCAGCAGGGAAGAAACUGACGGUACCUGACUAAGAAGCACCGGCUAAAUACGUGCCAGUAGCCGCGGUAAUCUGAGCGGGCUGGCAAGGC